AUGUCACGGGAGUAUGUGACAGCCGAACUGUCUCGGUUGAGAGUUGCAAUUAGGCCACGAAACAAACUUGACAGAAGCCACCACGCCAUCCAGGAACAAAAUUGGCAUUCAAGGAUAAAUUCCUUUAAAGAAUGCUAUGAAGUUAGUUUUGCGAUGAGGCCAAACUAUAACAAAUCUUGCUUUUUGAUUCCUGGUUUUGCUCCCAAUGUAAUAGCGCUCAACAUUACCAUAUUAAAAUAA